GACGAACGCUGGCGGCGUGCCUAAUACAUGCAAGUAGAACGCUGAAGGAGGAGCUUGCUUCUCUGGAUGAGUUGCGAACGGGUGAGUAACGCGUAGGUAACCUGCCUGGUAGCGGGGGAUAACUAUUGGAAACGGUAGCUAAUACCGCAUAAGAGUAGAUGUCGCAUGACAUUUGCUUAAAAGGUGCAAUUGCAUCACUACCAGAUGGACCUGCGUUGUAUUAGCUAGUUGGUGAGGUAACGGCUCACCAAGGCAACGAUACAUAGCCGACCUGAGAGGGUGAUCGGCCACACUGGGACUGAGACACGGCCCAGACUCCUACGGGAGGCAGCAGUAGGGAAUCUUCGGCAAUGGACGGAAGUCUGACCGAGCAACGCCGCGUGAGUGAAGAAGGUUUUCGGAUCGUAAAGCUCUGUUGUAAGAGAAGAACGAGUGUGAGAGUGGAAAGUUCACACUGUGACGGUAUCUUACCAGAAAGGGACGGCUAACUACGUG
rnacentral:rRNA from 1 species